rnacentral:lncRNA from 1 species
GACCAUAGGUGGGAUGCCCAAAGGAUUGGGCAGCUUGCAAAAUUUUUCUCUCUUUCUUCUUACAUCUAGCGAUCAAAAGUUUUGUUAGAUGUAUGUCCUAGAAGCUAGAUUAGCUAAUACAUAUACACAUUCUAGGGACAUAACUUUAUAAUUAAAAUUUUGAAAUGAAUAAAAUUUUGAUUUUUUUUAUUCAUGUUGUGUUUAAAUUAUGUCCAUGAAUCAUUCGAGAAAUUAACAAAUGAUGACAUGUAUUCUC